rnacentral:misc_RNA from 1 species
GAAGGCUAUAUAUCUGUAGGAAACAAAACAAGCAUCAAAAAACCUGGUUUGCUACCAUUGCUGUCUACAUUAAGGUAUUUUCCUGAUACAUCAGCUCGAAAGUAUUGCUUCGAGUUUCCCACGAUCAAAGGAGGGAAAUAUUUAGUAAGAAGUACUUAUUAUUAUGGAGGUUUUGAUGGAAGGAAAGAGCCUCCAGUGUUUGAUCAAAUUGUUCAAGGGACUAAGUGGGGUAUUGUUAAUACCACAGAAGAUUAUGCCAAAGGACUUGGCUCAUACUAUGAAAUUGUUCUACUUUCUAUGUCUAAAAUUCUCAGUGUUUGCCUUGCAAGAAAUAAGCAAACUACUUCUAGUCCUUUUAUAUCAGCUCUUGAAGUGGAGUACCUUGAUGAUUCGAUAUAUAAUUCCACAGAUUUUUC